AUCAUCAUCAGCGUCCCUGGCUGGGCUGAGGGGUGUCUGUGUGUGUCUGUGGCCGUGUCUGUGGCUGAGGGAGGCGCCAUGAACCCAGCAGCGGUGCCCACGCCCUUAGAAGACGUGCACGGGGAUGGCAGGUGGCUCAGCAUGCUUGGUGAGGUCUUCUGGUAGGAAAUCCACAGUCAAGGGGCUAAUCAUCUCAGACCGGCCCGCGAAGUGACCGUUUCCUCGCCCUUUCCAGCACAACCGCUUCGUCAACCAGGCGCAUGAGAUGGAGCCGGACGUGGUGUUUGUGGGUGACUCCAUUGUGGCCAACCUGCAGUGCACCGACCUCUGGGAGAAGUGGUUCGCGCCAAUGCACUGCCUGAACUUUGGCAUCGGCGGAGACCAGACGCAGCAUGUCCUCUGGCGCCUCAGGAAUGGGGAGCUGGAGUCCAUUAAGCCUAAGGCGGUGGUGGUGCUAGUGGGGACCAACAACCACGAACACACGGCGGCGGAGGUGGCGGGCGGCAUCACCGAGAUCUGUCGAACCAUCCGAGAGAAGCAACCGCAGGCGUACAUUGUGGCCUUGACACUCCUGCCACGAGGGGAGAAGCCAAACCGCCUGAGGGAGAAGAACGAUGAGGUCAACUCCCUCAUCAAGGAGUCACUGCGCGCCAUCGACCUGUGUCAGGUCAUAAACGUGGACCAGGACCUCGUGCUGGGCGACGGCUCCAUCGACCACCGGGACAUGUACGACUACCUCCACCUCACUUCCCAGGGGUACCGUCGCGCCUUCGAGCCCGUCUACCUCUUCCUGACCAACCUCCUGCAUGAACACGAUGUGCCGCUCCUCAAUAACGCGUCCUCCACCCUCGCCUCCCCCGCCACCGAUCACGCAACCCAGACCAACACCCCGGCAUACUGUGGGGAGUAGCCGGCGCCCAGGUGUGUCUUCCGGGGAGGUGUGCGACAGUCGGUCUUUAGGCGUCAAAUGAGGGUCUUUUUGUGUGUUUCUGAAGGCUUGCGAUGUGGAAAAGACUCAUUUGAUUUGUGGAUUUCUGUGUCUCCCUUUCUCGCUCUCUUCCUGUGUUUGCAGAGGUUUACAGUCUUUACACGUCAAAUGAGAGUCUUUCACGUGUGUUUCUGAAAGGUUCACAAUGUAGAAAAGACCCUCAUGUUAUUUUGUGCAAGAUUCCAUGCAUAAGAUUGCUUCUGUCUUUGCUUUCCUCUUCCUCCUCUUCUUCCUCUGUUUCCCUUUCGUCCUGCCCUGCACGCCGCCCACCUUGCAGCUUCCUCACUAGACAGUCAGGUCUUGUUUUACAUUCUCAAAGGCUUCAAUUGGUUCCUUCGUGCAUCUGUUUCUCGAGGCUCUCAUAGAAGUGGCGGGGCAUUUCAUGGGUACCUUUGCAAGGUUUUGCGAGGUUUUGCUAGAUUUUGCAAGGCUUUGCAAGGUUUUGCAAGAGAACCCAACUCCUCAUCUUCUUGAGAGCCUUGGGAAAGAGUCGCAGUAGGAGCUGCCGAAAGGUUUUGAGAAGAUGAGCUUUUUUUGUGGUCUUCUUUCUCUCAGUCUUUGCUAGUUCGUACACGCCAUUCAGAUUUGUACUUGACAUUUCUGAUUCUAUUUAUGUUAUUUAUUUAUUUAUUUUUAUACCAAGAGUGGGAGUGACUCGUAGCCCACCCAAGCCUGUGAGGCAAAGGACGCUAAAAUGUGAAACUUAAAAAAGCUUGUAAUAUGCAACACUGGAGCUUGGAGACUUUCCCUGAAGCAAAGACUCCUGGCUGGGGAUACCUUGACUCCUUAGGGAGCUUUUAAAAGGUAAAAAAACAUGAGGAAACAAGAGUCCCUAUGACGGAUUUUAUAGAGAUCUUUGAAGUUAAUUUUUGAAUGGUGUCUAUGAACAGUCAAAAGCACUCCACCUUCUCGAUCCUGCACCGUCUCUGUACGCUUCAAUCAGUCAAACGCCGCUUCACCCACCUUAUAGAAUCACGAUUAGAACACGUUUACAGAGGGAGGGACUUACGUAACAGGCCGUCUUGAGGCUACGAUUCCCUCGGUUCCCCUCGAUAAUUUACUUUCCCUUGCUUCCAGAUACACUCAACUUAUUUAUUUAUAUACAACGUUUUAAAUCACCAAUUGCGAACACAUUUACGGAGGGAGGAAUUUACGAAACAGGCUGGCUUGAGGUUAUGGUCGCCUCGGUUCCGUUCAAAGAUUUCCGUUCCCUUGCUUCCAGAUUCAUUCGACUCUUAUAUAUUUAUUACAGCAUUCUAAAACGACCAUUAGAACAUGUUUACAGAGGGAGGGACUUACAUAACAGGCUGGCUUGAGGUUACGGUCGCCUCGGUUCCGUUCGAUGAUUUCCGUUCCCUUCAUUCCAGCUUCACUUUUCCCUUUUUUAUUUAUUACGACAUUUUAGAACAGUGAUUAGAACACGUUUACGCAGGGAGGGACUUACGUAACGGGCUGUCUUGAGGUUACAGUCCCCUCGGUUGCCUUCGAUAAUUUCCAUUCCUUUGCUUCCAGAUACACUGCAUCCUAACUUAUUUAUUACGACCUUCUAAAACGCGAUAAUGAACAUGUUUACGGAGGGAGGGACUUACGUAACGGGCUGUCUUGAGGUUACAGUCCCCUCGGUUGCCUUCGAUAAUUUCCAUUCCUUUGCUUCCAGAUACACUACAUCCUAACUUAUUUAUUACGACCUUCUAAAACGCGAUAAUGAACACGUUUACGGAGGGAGGGACUUACACAUAACAGGCUGUCUAGAGGUUAUGUAUCCCUCGGUUGCCUUCGAUAAUUUCCAUUCCUUUGCUUCCAGAUACACUGCAUCCUAACUUAUUUAUUACGACCUUCUAAAACGCGAUAAUGAACACGUUUACGGAGGGAGGGACUUACAUAACAGGCUGUCUAGAGGUUAUGUAUCCCUCGGUUGCCUUUGAUAAUUUCCGUUCCCUUUAUUUAUUGGCGUAGGCGGUGUUGGAAUGUCCUUUGGUGGUAACGUGUGUGUGGCUGUGGUCAAGUCCUUGCUCUUUGGUGCAUUGGUGGACAGGCCUGAGUGUUGGUUGACUGCCUGGCUGACUGGUUAUCUAACUGACUGACUGGCUGGCAGGGUUAUAAUCUUACUGAAUGGCUUGCUGACUGACUAGCUGACUGUUUUUUGAGUGGAUAGCUGACUGGUUGACUGGUUAACUGACUGACUGGCUGGCAUGGUUAUAACCUUACUGACUGGCUUGCUAAGUGACUGAUUGGCUGACUGACUAGCUGGAUGGCUUUUAAGUGGCUAGCUGACUGGUUGACUGGUUAACUGACUGACUGGUUGAUUGACUGACUGGCUGGCUGGCUGGCAUGGUUAUAACCUCACUGACUGGCUAGCUAAGUGACUGAUUGGCUGACUGACUAGCUGACUGUUUUUUGAGUGGCUAGCUGACUGGUUGAGUGACUGACUGGCUGGCUGGCAUGGUUAUAAUCUUACUGACUGGCUAGCUAAGUGACUGAUUGGCUGACUGACUAGCUGACUGGCUUUUAAGUGGCUAGCUGAGUGGUUGAGUGGGCAGCUUGGUGGUGGUGCAUUCCAGAGCAACCAAAGUCCCGGAACAGAGGGCGGUGCUGUGCUGAUUCUGUUCUUGUGAUAACAUUUAAGUGAUCAUGUUUAUGUUUUAUUUUAGGUCUGAGUCUUGGCUAAGGAGAUGGACCUCACGUGCUGGGGUGUGGGGCAGAACGAUUCACACACACACACACACACACACACACACACACACACACACACACACACACACA